CCUACGGGAGGCAGCAGUGAGGAAUAUUGGUCAAUGGGCGGAAGCCUGAACCAGCCAAGUAGCGUGCAGGAUGACGGCCCUACGGGUUGUAAACUGCUUUUGUACGGGAGUAACGCGCCUUACGUGUAGGGCUUUGCAUGUACCGUAUGAGUAAGGACAGGCUAAUUCCGUGCCAGCAGCCGCGGUAAUACGGAAGGUGCGGGCGUUAUCCGGAUUUAUUGGGUGUAAAGGGAGGGUAGGCCGAAUGGCAAGCGUGCUGUGAAAUGUCCGGGCUCAACCCGGGCCGUGCAGCGCGACCUGGCGUGCUGGAGUGCGCGGAAAGCAGGCGGAAUU
rnacentral:rRNA from 1 species